rnacentral:rRNA from 1 species
CGACCGGCGCACGGGUGAGUAACGCGUAUGCAACCUGCCCGAUACCGGGGUAUAGCCCAUGGAAACGUGGAUUAACACCCCAUAGCACUUUUAUCCUGCCUGGGAUGGGAGUUAAAUGUUCAAGAUAUCGGAUGGGCAUGCGUCCUAUUAGUUAGUUGGCGGGGUAACAGCCCACCAAGACGAUGAUAGGUAGGGGUUCUGAGAGGAAGGUCCCCCACAUUGGAACUGAGACACGGUCCAA